CCCAUUUUGUCCUUCCUUAAUGGGAAAGGGUUUUUUAAUCAGCUGAUAUUUUUUGGCAUUAAAAUGUGACAUUAUACCGGUCAUCUUGUAACACAUGCUCCACCAUGCUCCUGGAUUAGCUUUGGGCAAAUACACCUCAAGAUGGUGCUGCUGCAGUCAGAAAAGAGAUGCUGGCUUUUCCUCUUCAUGGAAGGAUGGCAGUGACAAGCGCCUUCUUGCUCAUGCAUGCCCCCACCCCUUCAGGAUGAGAAAGGUUGGAUGCCUUUCAAAAGGGCUAAGUGAAGUGUUUUUACAUUGAAGUCAUUAGUGAGCAGCAGAGCGGCGAAGGGCAGCUCAAUAUGCCGUUAACAGUUGUUAAGAACACA